rnacentral:sRNA from 1 species
AUACACAUGUGUACACACGAACAAGCACACUAACAUGAAAUCCAAACCUAACAUGAUUGUGAAUUUCCUGAAAAACAUUUGGGGCAAAUGUACUCAGAGAAAAAACUACUAUGGGCUGCAGAGUUUCUAGAAUGCUGGCAAGGGAACAAACACACACAGGCAGGGAGGAGCACUGUGCUGCCUUAAAAUAUACCCCUUUGUACACACAUACUACACAGUCUGUCACCAUGGGAGCUGUCAUAAAACACAUUUUUGUCUCCUUUGCCUCAAAUAUGAAAUGGCUAUUUAUAAAUGUGUUCACAGGGUGGACUGUGUUCUUCUUUUAAACAGUACAGAAACUAUGAGACUCUUGAUAAGGAGGUAGAAGAUAGAGACUUCUAAGCGUGACUCUAAUUUAAGCCCCUAGGAAGGACAUCUCAGGACUAAGGAAUGUUGGGAAGGAUCUAGAAGUCUCCGGAUAACAUUAAAAUUGGAAAUAAUUCCAAAGCGGUCAGAUUAAUGCAUGUGCUGUUCCGGGGCUGAAACAUUUAAAAGUCACCCAAGCUCAGAACUUGCACCUGAUAAGAACUGCCUCAUGAGAUGAGACAGAGGGUGGUGGGUAAAGGUAUUAGGCUCCUAUGCCUGAGGCCUGGACUCAGUCACUGAAAAUCACAUACAGUGGAAAGCAGCAGCAUGCAUCUGUAACCCCAGCAUUUCUAUGGUUAGAUGAGGAAGGCAGAAGGUUCUUGUUACUUUGGGUUCCUGUGACAAAACAAUAAUCAAAAAAGAACUUGGGGAAGAAACCAUUUAUUACACCUUAUGGGUUAGAGUCCAAGAACAAUUGACGCUUGAAUUUAAAGUAGCAAUUCAAGACAGAAUCUUGGAGGCAGGAACUGAAGCAGAGAUCAUGGAGGAAUGCUGCUUACUGGCUUGCUCAGCUUGAUCUCUUCUUAUUCAAGCUAGAGCAGCACAAGUCGUGUUAAUCAAAAAGGAAAUGUCUUUCAGAUGUUCAUACAUGCCAAUCUGAUGGAGCUUCUCAUUUUCCAGGUGACUCUAAUUUCUGCUAAUUAACAAAUAAAUUGACCAGAAAAGUGAAACAAGAAAGUUUUUAGGGGGUUUAUUUACUAUCUUGCCUGGAGUAUGCAAAAUGAACCAGCCAACAAAGAGACUCCAAUUCAAUGAAGCUGAAGGCAAGAACAUACUCUUCUUACUUGUCCAUUGACAAACAUAUUCAUGGGCUCACAUGUAAAUGGAUAACUAAAUAAAAUUCAAAAUUAAAGUAAAACAUAAAACACCAAACGAAUUAAUUUUUCAAUCUGUGACUAGGUACCACGUGGGAACUCAUCUGGAUGAUGUUGUUCUAGCAUAACACAAUGUGUUCUGUGUAAUUGCAGAAAACACAAAGUAGACCCAAAUUCACAUAUGAGGUUGGUAUUUUAUAUCCUACAUGUGUUGUGUAUUUAUGAAUUAUUUCACCAUUUGCUGGCAUGUAUCAUCCGUCAUUUUAUCAUCUUCCAUUGGUAUAUCUUUUUAAUCUGUCCAUUCAUCCAUACAUAUCAUACCAUGCCAUACAUACAUACAUGCAUACAUAUAUCCACUAUCCAUUUAUAAGUAUAGCUGUCAAAUAGCCUAAAAACAUUUCAUUUUUAGAAAAGAAUCCCUUGAAUUAUAAAUGGGGCUUGGUAAUUGUGGUACAAAAUUGCUUUCCUCUUUUGGUCAUAUCACAUAAAGAUGUUAUGCAUAUUCCUCUACCUACCCACACCUAUAUACUGAGAUUACCUUCUGUCUUCUGAUACUUCAAAGAUGAAUCCAUCUAGUAAGCUUCCUGAAUGUAUUCUCACAUCUGGUAGCAAAGAGAUGAAAUGUUCAGACUUACUAAUAAAUGAUGUUAGAAUGAAAAAUGGCCCCAUGAUUAAUGCAAAUAAAUAGUUAUUUCAUUUGAAAGCAACUAAAAAGAAGUUCUCCUGACUCAAGAUUUCAAGAAAGAUUUUUUGCGAAGAUAUUUGAGUCAUGUUUGAAAGGCAAACAGGGAAUUAUUUAUUAAGCCACUGCCAUCCUGAUGUAGCAGAUACCAAAAGGUAACUGUAAGCCAUCGAGUUCAAGUAAAGUCCUUUGAAGGUAUAAAGAAUGGUUCUUUUUUCUAAAACUGUGCCAGGAAAGGUUGUAAGUUUUCCAAAAUAACAUCUUUGGCCUUUUACAUCUGUCCUGCAAUACGCACAGCUAGCACUGAAAUACUACUGGAGCCCUUGGACUUCCUUUGAAACAUAAUAUUCAACAAAAUAUUUCUCUACAUACAAUUGUUAUUACUAAAAUACUUAUAAAGUCCAAAAAUAACCUUAUUUACAUGGAAUUAUGUCUGCAUAGGCCAAUGACGCUCCUGUUCCUCAUCUUCUCUUCUGAUCUAAUUUAUGUGUGGCUUGUUCUAGUAUUCUCCUGACUCAUGGACUGUGUGCUAUAAAAUGAACUUUUCUUGAGAAGAUGAUUACUGAGACAUCUCUCUAGGACCUUUUUGGUGCUUUUUAUGACAUAGAAUGGAAGUGAUUAGUGGGUGUCUAGGCAAAGAUAGUAAAAAAGUUGGGCAUGACUAUGGAGCUUAGAUAAUGUAUUUCUGGCCACUAAAUGACAAGUAUUAGUUAUUAAAGGGUAAUUGCUUAUCUUUAAAUUUUAAACCUGUAUCAGUUGAGAACUUUAUCAAUUGAACAUCAACUUUGCAUUAUAUUUUGCCCUAAAAGUCUUCAUAUUCUAUGAAGCAUCCCCAUACUCGAUCAUUUGUGUGAUCUUUUGAUGCUUUUUUUCCCUCUUUUUCAGCUAUUCACUUAUUUUCAAAUUUCCCAAUCUAAUCUAAAUUUCAGUAUUCUCUCUGUAAAUAGAUAUCCUAGAAAUGCAAUGAAGAAGGAAUUUAUUGUAUGAUGAAAGUAACAACUUGAAAGCAUAGGAUGACUGGAAACUUCAUCAAGAAAAGAGUAUUUCAACUUUUGGUUCUAUUAAUGAUCCAUAGAUGGGAAAAUAUGAAGUUAGGAGGCUCCUGAGAAAGCAGGGGAGAGGAGUGGCUAUGACCAAGGAACAUGGUAAAUAUGCAUGGAAUCUUCAUAGAAUAAAUUUAAUUAAAAUGUCAAUGAAGUACACAAUAAAAGAAAUGUCGAAAAAUUCAUAGAUGCUGUAGAAACAAGUGAGUAAUUCUGGUCUUCUCUUUUUCUAUUUGAUGACUGGAAUUAGAAGCAAGUACUAUCUACAUUUUUUUGCAUAUUUGUCCACAUUAGGUUAAUGGGUGUCCUAGUUAGCAUUAAAUGUGUAUUUGACAUGCACUAGAGAAGCAUAGAAACUGAGUAAGUGUCUUGAUCAGGUGGAUAAGUAUGGUUUGAUGAAUUGACUGAUAACUGUUGUAGAACACAGCCCACUGUGGGCAGUUCCAUUCUCAGGGCCCUGUUCCUGGGCUACAGUGAAUCUACCUAAGCAAAACCCAAGACAGAGAGUGAGGCAGCUCAAGGUUGCAGGACCAUGCUAUAUGAGGCAUGCUGUACUUCCUUGACUGAAUAUGAAUUCCCUAGUCAUAGGUAAUGAAUGCUGCACGAUGUACCAAGCAGGCCUGUCUUUAGCUUCUUGCUCUGACUACCCUUAGUGACUGCCUGAGGCUUGAAUGUGUAAGAUGAGGUGGUCUAUGUUAUCCCCAAGUUUCUUGUAAUCAGAGUACUCAUCACAGCUACAAAAAGAAUAGGAAGUGGGUAAGCCCGGGCACAUGAUAGGCAGCUGCCUGUCUCCUGUCUCUGCCUCUGCUCAUCUGAAAACUCUGUGUAUUCAUGGCAUUCAAAACAUAUUUGUGUUCAAGCACAUGUUCCCUCGCAUGUAGUCCAGCAUUUUAAGUAUUUUCAUAAUAAAAUUUCUUAAACUUUAAGAAAUGUUAUUCUCCAAUAAGUAUAGAAAAAGUAGAAAAAGCUAGGGAUAGUUACAAAUGGAUUAACUACACACAGCCAUGUUUUGGGCCUAUCCAUUGAUAUACCUCCUGUCUUAUUGCAGAUUUUUUUGCAGUCCAUCCAAAAAAAAAUUGAUUCUGUUUCUAAAUAUAGGUAAUCCCCUAAGCUCCAGUUGAUUCUGAACAACUAGAUGCGUCAGUGUGGGUGUAUCUAAAUUCCCAUUCGGGCUGAAUGCCCAGCUUUGCUAGCCCUGUACAUUGAAGGGACACUCUGAAGGAUUCUAUUUAUCUAAGCGGUUGGCCUCAUGCUUGGAUUUGCAGGUGUGGCUGUAAAUUUCAGAUGAUAUAUGGAGGAGGAAGCCCAACAAAAUCUGAAACUGUAACAGAACUCAAGACUCACGGCCUCUUUUGGGAGAUGCUUCGGUUUUAUGAUUUGGGCUGUGGAAGAUGGUGGAACCUCACUGGGAUCACAUCUGUCAGGUUUACAGGGUGAAGACAAGCGCUCAGCAGGCUUGCAUGCUACUGUGUGGGAGGAAACAGAUACUCAUAAAUUUGCCCACCUGGUGGAAACAGCAAUUCCUGCUUGUAGCACACACAGCAUGAAGACAUUUCAUUGCAAGCUGACUCUGAGUGACCGCAAGUCAAGACUUAGACUCCAUGUGAAACUGAAAUUAAAGGUGCCCACUAAGCAUUAACCCACAGCAGUCAUUCACACUUUAACCAACUAUUGGUUUCCCAAAUAUCUAAGUCUGCCUCCCUAUGCCCACACCGCUCAGGUAAAAGAUGAUUAUAAAUUGUUUCUGGAUUCCUGGUUCCUUAUAGACAAAACCACGGGGAAGGAUUUUUGUUUUUCUUUCUUUUUUUUUUUUUUUAGUUUGUUCAUUUUGGUUUGGGGUUUUUGGUUUUGAGAUUUUUUUGGGGUGGGUGGCAGGAGACAUAAAGGGGUCCACCUGUAAUAUACAAAGGAGGAAUUUUGAUAUUUUGUUCUUCUUGCUGUGGUGUUUUCAAAUAAGCUAUCUGUCAAUGUUUCAGUCAGGAAGGAGUGACUGUAAAGCCUAGGAAAUGUGUUUUCUCUUUUAAAAACCUAUUAGAAAAAAACAAAUAAGGAUUAGGGAAAAAUGCAUUUUUUUUAAAAAACCCAAAUGUAGGGGAAACAGUAGGAUGCCCUUUUAUGCUAACUAUAUCUAGGAAAGAAUUGAAAGCUUGCUGAGCCAGAAACAUAAAUGGCUCUGAUAAGUCUGCAGUUGAAAACCGUUAUUUACAUUCACUCAGUAUGAAUGGGAGCUUCCAUAUGGCCAAACCUAUAGCUGCUGAGUCUACAAGGAAGGUUAAUAUGUUAGCUGGCUCUGUUAGCACAAAUUAUAUUUGGAUGGUAACCAUUAGCCUUCUCAGAGUUUUCUUUCCUUGAUGAGCCUUCCCAAAUUCUUCUCCCCCUUCACCUACACACAGAUCCCUCCUUCACCAGCUGGUUCAGUGUGACUUGGAAGGGCACAUUUCUUUCCUCUCUACUGCACACAAACCAGGCUUUGCUGAAAGAUUUUCUCUGAAAGUAUUUAACUGCUUGAUAUUUAGACCUGAGAGGGGAAAAAAAACAAGACACAUGCUUGGCUUAAGUUGAAGGCUUUUAUUGCACAGUUAAGCUACUGAUGAUAAACGAUUAUAGUUGGAGCCUUUUUAAAAAUAAAAGUAGAUUUGUUAGUG